UUCACCCAAACCCCAUGAAGUAAAUUCUUCAUUGAGAUCGGUAAGAAGAAGAUUUUGAAAUUACUCUAAAAUUUAGUCUGAUCUAAACCCUACUAAUCAUUGGGUUUUCUUAAUAAUUUAUCUCUCAGUAUCUUUAAAAUUAUCUAGACUGUUAAUUACUCAUUAAUUAGGGUGCUUAAUUAACUUCUAAUCAAAAUAAAGUUUGGAUACAUAC
rnacentral:lncRNA from 1 species